AAUAAUGUCAGUUACUUUGCUGAGUAACUAAUUACUUUUACAAUGUGGUAACUGAGUUACUAACUCAAUUACUUUUUGGGAGAAGUAAUUUGUAACUGUAACUAAUUACUUUUUUAAAGUAAGAUGGCCAAUACUGCUUAAACCACAGGUUAACAC